GACGAACGCUGGCGGCGUGCUUAACACAUGCAAGUCGAACGGAAAGGCCCUGCUUUUGUGUGGUGCUCGAGUGGCGAACGGGUGUGUAACACGUGAGUCACCUGCCCUUGACUUUGGGAUAACUUCAGGAAACUGGGGCUAAUACCGGCUAGGAGCUCCUGCUGCAUGGGGGGGGUUGGACAGUUUCGGUGGAUGGGGAUGGACUCGCGGCUAAUCAGCUUGUUGGUGGGGUAGUGGCUUACCAAGGGUUUGACGGGUAGCCGGCCUGAGAGGGUGACCAGCGACAUUGGGACUGAGAGACGGCCCAGAGUCCAACGGGAGGCAGCAGGGGGGAAUAUUGCACAAUGGGCGUAAGCCUGAGGCAGCAACGCCGCGUGCGGGAUGACGGCCUUCGGGUGGGAAACCGCUUUCGCUUGAGACGAAGCGUUAUUGACGGUAAUGGGUAAAGAAGCACCGGCUAACUACGUG
rnacentral:rRNA from 1 species